rnacentral:rRNA from 1 species
GAUGAACGCUGGCGGCGUGCCUAAUACAUGCAAGUCGAGCGAACAGACGAGGAGCUUGCUCCUCUGACGUUAGCGGCGGACGGGUGAGUAACACGUGUAUAACCUACCUAUAAGACUGGGAUAACUUCGGGAAACCGGAGCUAACACCGGAUAAUAUAUUGAACCGCAUGGUUGAAUAGUGAAAGACGGUUUUGCUGUCACUUAUAGAUGGAUCCGCGCCGCAUUAGCUAGUUGGUAAGUUAACGGCUUAUCAAGGCGACGAUGCGUAGCCGACCUGAGAGGGUGAUCGGCCACACUGGAACUGAGACACGGUCCAGACUCCUACGGGAGGCAGCAGUAGGGAAUCUUCCGCAAUGGGCGAAAGCCUGACGGAGCAACGCCGCGUGAGUGAUGAAGGUCUUCGGAUCGUAAAACUCUGUUAUUAGGGAAGAACAAAUGUGUAAGUAACUAUGCACGUCUUGACGGUACCUGAUCAGAAAGCCACGGCUAACUACGUG